rnacentral:rRNA from 1 species
GACGAACGCUGGCGGCGUGCUUAACACAUGCAAGUCGAACGGUAAGGCCCCAUCUUGCUGGGGUACACGAGUGUCGAACGGGUGUGUAUCACGUGGGUGUCCUGCCCCGCACUUCGGGAUAAGCCUGGGAAACUCGGUGUAUUACCGGAUAGGACCGCUCCGACCGGGUGGGGUUGUAUGUUUGUCGGUGUGGGAUGUGCCCGCGGCCUAUCAGCUUGUUGGUGGGGUAAUGGCGUACCAAGGCGGCGACGGGUAGCCGGCCUGAGAGGGUGGACGGCCACAUUGGGACUGAGACACGGCCCAGACUCCUACGGGAGGCAGCAGUGGGGAAUAUUGCACAAUGGGCGGAAGCCUGAUGCAGCGACGCCGCGUGGGGGAUGACGGCCUUCGGGUUGUAAACUCCUUUCACCAUCGAAGAAGCGUAUGUGACGGUAGAUGGAGAAGAAGCACCGGCUAACUACGUG